rnacentral:rRNA from 1 species
AUUGAACGCUGGCGGCAGGCCUAACACAUGCAAGUCGAACGAGUGGCGGACGGGUGAGUAAUGUCUGGGAAACUGCCUGAUGGAGGGGGAUAACUACUGGAAACGGUAGCUAAUACCGCAUACCAUCAGAUGUGCCAGAUGGGAUUAGCUAGUUGGUGGGGUAACGGCUCACCAAGGCGACGAUCCCUAGCGGGUCUGAGAGGAUGACCGGCCACACGGUAGCUGAGACACGGUCAAGACUCUUACGGGGGGCAGCAGUGGGAAAUAUUGGACACUGGGGGCAGGCCUGAGGCAGCCAUGCCGCGGGUAUGAAGAAGGCCUUCGGGUUGUAAAGUACUUUCAGCGGGGAGGCGUUACCCGCAGAAGAAGCACCGGCUAACUCCGUGCCAGCAGCCGCGGUAAUAC